rnacentral:rRNA from 1 species
GAUGAACGCUGGCGGUAUGCUUAACACAUGCAAGUCGAACGGACUCUUCGGAGUUAGUGGCGGACGGGUGAGUAACGCGUGAGAAUCUGGCUUUGGGUUCGGGACAACCACUGGAAACGGUGGCUAAUACCGGAUGUGCCGAGAGGUAAAAGAGAAAUUGCCUGAAGAUGAGCUCGCGUCUGAUUAGCUAGUUGGUGAGGUAAAGGCUCACCAAGGCAGCGAUCAGUAGCUGGUCUGAGAGGAUGACCAGCCACACUGGGACUGAGACACGGCCCAGACUCCUACGGGAGGCAGCAGUGGGGAAUUAUCCGCAAUGGGCGAAAGCCUGACGGAGCAAUACCGCGUGAGGGAAGAAGGCUCUUGGGUUGUAAACCUCUUUUCUUAGGGAAGAACAAAAUGACGGUACCUAAAGAAUCAGCAUCGGCUAACUCCGUG